UACGUAGGUCCCGAGCGUUGUCCGGGUUUAUUGGGCGUAAAGCGAGCGCAGGUGGUUUAUUAAGUCUGGUGUAAAAGGCAGUGGCUCAACCAUUGUAUGCAUUGGAAACUGGUAGACUUGAGUGCAGGAGAGGAGAGUGGAAUUCCAUAUGUAGCGGUGAAAUGCGUAGAUAUAUGGAGGAACACCGGUGGCGGAAGCGGCUCUCUGGCCUGUAACUGACACUGAGGCUCGAAAGCGUGGGGAGCAAACAGG
rnacentral:rRNA from 1 species